rnacentral:lncRNA from 1 species
AUAAUAGUAACAAACUCGAAACAACUACUUUUGCUUAUAACACUUAUCAAAAUCGAAUGUGAGUAUGUAAUAUUCUUUUGACUGUUAACAUUAAACUACUAUUCAAAAUAAAUAAAUAAACCUUGAGUCCCUUAACACAAAUAUACUUCGUUUAAAAACAUAAAAUUAAUCACAUGUGCCAUGUUGCAUUUUAAUUGACCUUGAAAAACUAGAUGCCCUUUCUCAUUUCCAAAUAGCAUCAACAACACUCAAUGUUAUUCCUUUUUCGUGAUUCUCUUUUGUUUUCUUUGGUUUCAUCAUUGCUCCGGUCCACAAUCUAAAUAAUAACAAUGUUAAAACCAAAACAACAUAGAAAUUAGUACAUUAAAAACUAAAGUUGUUUUUGAAUGAGGAAAAAUGUAAUUUUAGGACAAAUUACAAAUCUUCAACUAAUGAACUCAAUAUUCCAGGAAAAAUGUAACUAGAAACAUAAUUAGGAAACAAUGUAACUUUCAUUUUCAGAAAAAUAAUUAUGAAACAAUGGAACUUUCAUUUCCAGAAAAAUAUAUUUAAUUUACAGGAAAUAAAAAAAUAUAUUAAAUUAAUGAACUCCAUAAAUAAGAAAGAAAUGAGAUUUACCGAAGUAAGAAACAAAAGUCCAUAUUUCAUAAAUUUGAUUUCCACUUUUCCAGAAAUAUGAAUCAUACCUUACAAAAAAUUCCAUCCCUGCUUCUCAAGUCUCCAAAGAAUCUCUCCGACAAUCAAGUCUCCAGAAAUCAAUUAAUUAGCAAGACUGCACGUAGGAAAUCAAAUUAGAUAACAUAUAAAAAUAAAUCAAAGGAAAAAGAGGAUGGGAUAUUGAUUUUUCUAUUUUUUUUUUCUUAUCUUAAAUGCUGGAGCCUAGAUAUUAAAAGCAGCCAUGAGUCUCGUCUUGAGUCUUGACGUCUUGAAUCUUAACAUCUUCUCUACUCCACCAAACCACUAUAUGUGAUGCAUCUGUAGUGAAAUCAAUCGAUGCUCAAGAAUCGAAGUGAUUCUCGUUUAUUGUGCAAGAGUGGCUGGCGUGCAUCCGUCUCUCAAUUCUAGCGCCCACCCUAAGUGGUUGAACUGAUUAAGGAAUUCUAGAGCUUUGGGCCACAUUUAAGUUUGGGCUAAAUUUUAUACAUGCUAAAAGUACCAGGCCUAAAAUGAUGCCCCUUCCCAGCUUGCUGCCCUGGGCCUUUGCCCCACUCGCCCAGGUGUUUGGGCCGGCCUUGCAUGUUACAAGUCCUUAGCCUGCAACUCCCUCAUGCACUGUCUUCUUUACCU